AGAGCGAACGCUGGCGGCAGGCCUAACACAUGCAAGUCGAGCGCUCGUAGCAAUACGAGAGCGGCAGACGGGAGAGUAACACGUGGGAACGUACCCUUUGGUUCGGAACAACACAGGGAAACUUGUGCUAAUACCGAAUAAGCCCUUACGGGGAAAGAUUUAUCGCCAAAGGAUCGGCCCGCGUCUGAUUAGCUAGUUGGUGGGGUAAUGGCUCACCAAGGCGACGAUCAGUAGCUGGUCUGAGAGGAUGACCAGCCUCAUUGGGACUGAGACACGGCCCAAACUCCUACGGGAGGCAGCAGUGGGGAAUAUUGGACAAUGGGCGCAAGCCUGAUCCAGCCAUGCCGCGUGGAUGAUGAAGGCCUUAGGGUUGUAAAGUCCUUUUAACGGGGAAGAUAAUGACGGUACCCGUAGAAUAAGCCCGGCUAACUUCGUGCCAGCAGCCGC
rnacentral:rRNA from 1 species